rnacentral:rRNA from 1 species
GACUGGGGGCGUGCUAAUACAUGCAAGUCGAACGCUUCUUUUUCCACCGGAGCUUGCUCCACCGGAAAAAGAGGAGUGGCGAACGGGUGAGUAACACGUGGGUAACCUGCCCAUCAGAAGGGGAUAACACUUGGAAACAGGUGCUAAUACCGUAUAACAAUCAAAACCGCAUGGUUUUGAUUUGAAAGGCGCUUUCGGGUGUCGCUGAUGGAUGGACCCGCGGUGCAUUAGCUAGUUGGUGAGGUAACGGCUCACCAAGGCCACGAUGCAUAGCCGACCUGAGAGGGUGAUCGGCCACAUUGGGACUGAGACACGGCCCAAACUCCUACGGGAGGCAGCAGUAGGGAAUCUUCGGCAAUGGACGAAAGUCUGACCGAGCAACGCCGCGUGAGUGAAGAAGGUUUUCGGAUCGUAAAACUCUGUUGUUAGAGAAGAACAAGGAUGAGAGUAACUGUUCAUCCCUUGACGGUAUCUAACCAGAAAGCCACGGCUAACUACGUGCCAGCAGCCGCGGUAAUACGUAGGUGGCAAGCGUUGUCCGGAUUUAUUGGGCGUAAAGCGAGCGCAGGCGGUUUCUUAAGUCUGAUGUGAAAGCCCCCGGCUCAACCGGGGAGGGUCAUUGGAAACUGGGAGACUUGAGUGCAGAAGAGGAGAGUGGAAUUCCAUGUGUAGCGGUGAAAUGCGUAGAUAUAUGGAGGAACACCAGUGGCGAAGGCGGCUCUCUGGUCUGUAACUGACGCUGAGGCUCGAAAGCGUGGGGAGCAAACAGGAUUAGAUACCCUGGUAGUCCACGCCGUAAACGAUGAGUGCUAAGUGUUGGAGGGUUUCCGCCCUUCAGUGCUGCAGCUAACGCAUUAAGCACUCCGCCUGGGGAGUACGACCGCAAGGUUGAAACUCAAAGGAAUUGACGGGGGCCCGCACAAGCGGUGGAGCAUGUGGUUUAAUUCGAAGCAACGCGAAGAACCUUACCAGGUCUUGACAUCCUUUGACCACUCUAGAGAUAGAGCUUCCCCUUCGGGGGCAAAGGGAC